UUCUCCCUUUCUUUUUCUCUUCUCUCUCCCGUCUCACGGUCUCGGUUCUUGCAGUCAACCGGGGCCAUUUCUCCGUCGUUGUGCUUCCGCUUCGGUUCUCGCCAUCGCCUGGCCAUCUCCCAUCUCGCCUUCGCUGUGCUUCUGCUUCAGUUCUCACCGUCGGCAAGGGAGACCGUACUACUCCUAAAACCUUUUCCCGUGUAGUGUAGUACCUAAAACCUUUUCCCGGAACCGUACUACUCCUCUUCCUCUCUUUCUCCUCCUUCCCUUCGUUUUGGCUCCGAUUGUCGGGAACUAGGGCUAGGGUUUCGCUUUCAAUAUCGAUUUGGAGGGGUUUUGAGCAGACCUUGAGCUAUUAGGCUGGGGGUCUGGAUUGAAGCGUUUUUGCAGGUGAUGAUGAGUUUGUGAGAGUGUGGAGGUACUGGACAAAUGCAUCAAGCUUUGGAACAGAGGUGCAUGGACCUGGUGCAGAUAUAGAUACAUUGUGUGUGGGACCUAAACAUGCAACUAGAGAGCUCUGAACCUAUGUUCUGUUAAUGCAUAAGAAGAAUUUUUUGUGGAACUUCAUAAUAUGUUAGCAGAGAUGACAGAAGUAUCAGAACUGCAUCCUGUGCUUGAUGCUCACGUACCUGUUAUGGGGUUCAAGUGUAAUGGUGUCUCCAUAGAUCUUCUUUAUGCAAGGCUUUCACUUCGGGUCAUUUCUGAAGUUGCACAGUUUCUUGGUGGCAUUAACUGGCCAUUGCUUGUUGCUCGUAUAUGCCAGUUAUACCCAAAUGCAUUGACAAGUAUGUUGGUAUCUCUCUUUUUCAGGGUUUUUACCCUGUGGCAACAGAUGCUCAUCAAAUGCAGAAGCAACAGAUGCUCGAAAGUGGACAAUGGGAGCAAUUCUUAUUGACAUUAGAACCUUCAGUGUUGUAUAGGUUGUCAAGAUAUCAAGAGAAACAAAGAGAUGCAGUCGGGUUCGAGCCUAGAAACACUUCUAAAUGAACAAGGAACAGAAUUAACAGCAACAACAGUCUUGUAUAUAUGAAAACUAUAUUUUGUAAUCAGAAUUGUGAUUGACAAUUAUGUGAAUUGUAAAUAUGAAAUAUAUGAAUUGUAAUUGGCAGUUA